AUACGGAGGAUCCGAGCGUUAUCCGGAUUUAUUGGGUUUAAAGGGUGCGCAGGCGGCCAUUUAAGUCAGCGGUUAAAUCGUGGGGCUCAACCCCAUUCUGCCGUUGAUACUGGGUGGCUUGAUUGCGGUCGAGGUUGGCGGAAUUCGUUGUGUAGCGGUGAAAUGCAUAGAUAUGACGAAGAACACCGAUUGCGUAGGCAGCUGACCAGAUCGCAAAUGACGCUCAUGCACGAAAGUGCGGGGAUCGAACAGGAUUAGAUACCCUGGUAGUCCGCACAGUAAACGAUGAAUACUUGUUUUCGGCGAUAUAAUGUCGGAGGCAAAGCGAAAGCGAUAAGUAUUCCACCUGGGGAGUACGCCGGCAACGGGGAAACUCAAAGGAAUUGACGGGG
rnacentral:rRNA from 1 species